rnacentral:rRNA from 1 species
UACGUAGGGUGCAAGCGUUAUCCGGAAUUACUGGGUUUAAAGGGUGCGUAGGCGGCCAUGUAAGUCAGGAGUGAAAGUUUGCGGCUCAACCGUAAAAUUGCUUUUGAUACUGCAUGGCUGGAAUCAGGAUGAGGUCAGCGGAAUGUGGCAUGUAGCGGUGAAAUGCAUAGAUAUGCCAUAGAACACCAAUUGCGAAGGCAGCUGGCUAGACCUGUAUUGACGCUGAGGCACGAAAGCGUGGGGAGCGAACAGG